rnacentral:rRNA from 1 species
UACGAAGGGGGCUAGCGUUGCUCGGAAUCACUGGGCGUAAAGCGCACGUAGGCGGAUUGCUAAGUCAGGGGUGAAAUCCUGGAGCUCAACUCCAGAACUGCCCUUGAUACUGGCGGUCUCGAGUCCGGGAGAGGUGAGUGGAAUUCCGAGUGUAGAGGUGAAAUUCGUAGAUAUUCGGAAGAACACCAGUGGCGAAGGCGGCUCACUGGACUGGUAUUGACGCUGAGGUGCGAAAGCGUGGGGAGCAAACAGG